AUACAGACAUACAGAAGUGAAAUCAAAAAAAGAUGAUCCAAGGAGAACCCUGACAAGACCAAGAAAUACAAGACCAAUUUUACAUGGACAUGGCUUGGACUAGACUGGUUCCUAGACACAGAAGUGAUGGGUGCGGACCAAGUACAUUUGAUUUGUUUGGAUUAAGUUUAAGAGUUGAUAUUUUUCUUUUCAAAUUAUUUUGUUUUAAUUUCCAAGUUGUUAAGCUAUUUCUUUAUUUCUGUGUCAAUGUUUUGUUCAUGUUUAUAUCAAUAUUGAUUUGAAAUCUACUCUCUUUAAUUUCCAAAGAGUGAAAAUUUGCUCAGUUUUUUACAAAGUGAAAAUGCGCUCCCAAGGACUGAAACUAAGAGCCGGACGAUUUAGAGUGAAAUUCAUUAAAUGAAAUACGUGUGGGCUGGAUUUUACUCUUAUUUCCAUUGAAUUAAUUCUUUUUUCAGAGUAUUCAAAUAUAAAAUGUGAAAUUUUUGCUCUAAUUUGGCUGCAACAGUGGCGUAGCCAGGAUUUUUUUCAUGGGGGGGGGGGCCUAGCAUGUUAUGAAGGGGCACCAAGGGCAGACCCAACAACAACAUUUCCCCCAAAUUUCCAGGCCGCCGCAAAGUGCUGCAAACUUUGUAAACAUUCAAUUUGUUAACAUUUCAUUCAUACUACAUUUUGUUCCUUGGCAAGCGGCACAUUUCGGAUGGGGGGAACAUCUGGGGGGGGGGGGCCACUGGGAAUUUGUAAGGGGGGCACGCCCUCUCGGCCCUUGACUCAGUACACCACUGGUCUGCAGGUUCACUGUUAGGAAAUUAGUAUGCAGAGCCCAAUUGUAUAUUCAACUCUGGCAAAAUUACAUUUUAGAGUAAAAAAAAAUAUGAAAUGGAUUGAAAUGAAAUGGUCAUUAACUGAAGUGUAUUGUGCCUCUCACAUAAUUAUGUGUAGAUGUACACUUUACUGCAAAAACUAGACACACCACUAUGUUCCUCUCACAUACGGUAUGUGUAGAAGUACACUGUACAAUGUACUGCAAAAACUAGACACCAAAUUAUCUGCAAACCGUCCAACCGUUAAAAAGUUUCCAAAAUUAUAUUGCAGGGGCAACCUGUAUUAUUUUCCACACAUAAGUUUGUUUACUUAUUCUCUAUGCAACACUUGCCAGGUGAAUGGCAAGAAUUUUUAUGACUUUUCCCAGCCUUCACAAAUUCAGCUUUUUUUAAUAGCAAGUAUCUUGAUUAAGGUGUGUGACCUUGACCUGCCCGUCCCGGUCCGGUGCUCACCAGAGUACAGAUUGUUUUGUUUGGCGAGAAAAAGAAGAGAGAGUUCGUAGAACCUUUCCCUUUAAAUUAAAGCCCUACCCAUGCCGCGCCAGCAGCCCGACCGACCCGGCCCUAGUUCCCUGGGCAUGGGAUGCAGUUCGCAGCUAGGUGUCUGGAAUUGCGAUUUGACUUCUGCAUAUAUUAACCAUACUCAUGUACACCUGCUGUGCAGACUGCAUGUACAUAGCUGGCCCGUUAGAUUUGCAUUGCAUAGACAGGCUCGAUCGAUCGAGUCCAACCAAAGUACUGAAUAUAUACGUUUGUGUAACAGCUCCAGUGUAAUGCAUUUGGUUUUUCAUGGUUUUUUUUCUCUUCAAUGGCGCCAUGUUUUCAGCCUCCACCCAGUAAUAUUUUGUGGCGCUCCACAAAUCUGCAAGUAACAGAACACACCUUUUUUUCACACCUUUCACAUUUUAACAGAGAUUUUGAUUAUUUUUUAUGUUUAUAGUUUAAUUUGACUGGCCUCAUUUUUUAGUGAACUUUAUCCUUUGUUUUUACGGUAAAAUUGUGCAAUACAAAAAAAUUACAAGUAGCUUGUUUAAUUUGUUGCGAAAGACAUACCAAUCAGAAAUAAAGAUUCUGCAAAAGGAUUGUUAAUUACCAUU